GCAGCGUCGAAUGGGUUACUAUCAAGUUCCGCCAAGUCGCAUCCAACUCGCAGUAACCGAAUAGUAUUUUCAAGUAGGGAGCAAGGGGACGCAGAAGGAGACUUCCAAAAGAAUGUGAGGACUGCAUACAUUUGGCAUCCCCUCAGCAAUGACAGAACUUGAUCUACUCCAGAAGGACCAUUGCAUUGCUUCUUACAUCAAAAAGAAGAAAAGGAGAACAUGCUGUAUGGAGUUGUAUGGAGAACAUGGAGUUGUAACUAACUGGGCAACAGUUUUUUCCACAUAACAAAGGCUUUGACCUUCCUUCCUGCUGUUCCUUUGUUACCACCUUUCCUCUCCUAUGUCUCUUUAAGAAUAGACAUGUGGCGAUGUAGCUCCACACUAUAAAAAGGGAAAGAAUAUAAGCAUG